GCGCCCGUAGCUCAAUUGGAUAGAGUGUCGGCCUCCGAAGCCGAAGGUUGUGGGUUCGACCCCCGCCGGGCGCACCA
rnacentral:tRNA from 1 species